UAUAAUGGGUCAGCGACUUAUAUUCUGUAGCAAGGUUAACCGAAUAGGGGAGCCGGAGGGAAACCGAGUCUUAACCGGGCGUUAAGUUGCAGGGUAUAGACCCGAAACCCGGUGAUCUAGCCAUGGGCAGGUUGAAGGUUGGGUAACACUAACUGGAGGACCGAACCGACUAAUGUUGAAAAAUUAGCGGAUGACCUGUGGCUGGGGGUGAAAGGCCAAUCAAACCGGGAGAUAGCUGGUUCUCCCCGAAAGCUAUUUAGGUAGCGCCUCGUGAAUUCAUCUCCGGGGGUAGAGCACUGUUUCGGCUAGGGGGCCAUCCCGGCUUACCAACCCGAUGCAAACUGCGAAUACCGGAGAAUGUUAUCACGGGAGACACACGGCGGGUGCUAACGUCCGUCGUGAAGAGGGAAACAACCCAGACCGCCAGCUAAGGUCCCAAAGUCAUGGUUAAGUGGGAAACGAUGUGGGAAGGCCCAGACAGCCAGGAUGUUGGCUUAGAAGCAGCCAUCAUUUAAAGAAAGCGUAAUAGCUCACUGGUCGAGUCGGCCUGCGCGGAAGAUGUAACGGGGCUAAACCAUGCACCGAAGCUGCGGCAGCGACACUGUGUGUUGUUGGGUAGGGGAGCGUUCUGUAAGCCUGUGAAGGUGUGUCGUGAGGC
rnacentral:rRNA from 2 species